rnacentral:rRNA from 1 species
UACGUAGGGGGCAAGCGUUGUCCGGAAUUACUGGGCGUAAAGGGCUCGUAGGCGGCCAACUAAGUCAGACGUGAAAUCCCUCGGCUUAACCGGGGAACUGCGUCUGAUACUGGUUGGCUUGAAUCCGGGAGAGGGAUGUGGAAUUCCAGGUGUAGCGGUGAAAUGCGUAGAUAUCUGGAGGAACACCGGUGGCGAAGGCGGCAUCCUGGACCGGCAUUGACGCUGAGGCGCGAAAGCCAGGGGAGCAAAGCGGG